rnacentral:rRNA from 1 species
UACGUAGGGGGCAAGCGUUAUCCGGAUUUACUGGGUGUAAAGGGAGCGUAGACGGUGAUGCAAGUCAGAAGUGAAAGCCCGGGGCUCAACUCCGGGACUGCUUUUGAAACUGUGUAACUGGAGUACAGGAGGGGCAGGCGGAAUUCCUGGUGUAGCGGUGAAAUGCGUAGAUAUCAGGAGGAACACCGGCGGCGAAGGCGGCUUUCUGGACGAAAACUGACGCUGAGGUACGAAAGCGUGGGGAGCAAACAGG